AAAACAGUUUGCUUCCCACCAUCUGAAUAUCUAUCGCAGACAAUUCUAUAGCGGACUCAGAAAUAUCAAAGCGAUAGUUUUUCCAAAAUUAUAGUCUUGACCUGCAUCAUAUUUUCUUGUGUCUGUUCUUUUUCAUGUGUUAAAACUGAUAAACAAGUUUUGAAUGGAAGCAAAGACCUUUGAUUACCGCUAGAUGGUUGAUGUAGACUGAGUAUUUAUCUUUCUUUCUUCUUAUGUUUACUAAAGGCUUCCAGUGAAGACUCUUCAGCUAGAACAAAUGGCAGUAAUGGGAAGGGCUGAAGAGCCAUCUGUUGUUGCUAGCCGAAUGCGAUUGGUUUUUGGCACUCUUGAGGUUGUGAGUCCACAAUGGCCAAGAGUCUAGUUCCGAACUCCAAAUAGCAAGAGAAACAUGUUUUCCCAGAUCUUGUAUCAAACAUCCGGAUUAAUUGCAAGAUGUAUAUUAUCAUAGUUUAACACAAAAUCAUUGUCGAUUUUUUAUAACUGGCAAGUGGUCUAUAACAUAUGGUACUUUUAGAGGAACGGAGUUGGGUUCUCUAUUUAUUUCUUCCAACUGGCUGUUUCGAUGCCACUAUAUCAAUUUGUACAAGAAUUUUUACAUAUACGUCCACUAGUUUCUUCUACAAA